UGAACUGUUUGCCCCGGGUUGGGUUCAAACCACAAUUCUUCUGAUCUCAGCCUACCAAGUAGCUAGGAUUACAGGUGUAAGCCACUUGCACCUGGCCAUUUUGGUGUUUUGAGGUAGGGUUUUGUUAUAUAGCCCAGCCUGGCUUGGAUCUCAAUGUGUAGUCCAGGCUGGCCUUGAACUUGCAAUCUUCCUGCUUCAGUCUCCUGAGUGCUGGGAAUACAGGCAUGCACCAUAAUGCCCAGGUAGAUCUCUUUCUAAAACAGCUCCUCACCCUUCUUGCAUCCUUUUCUCUGACCUUUUUCAGGGCAAUGGGCAUGAGGAGGUGGUAGCAUGUGCCUGGGAUGGACAGACAUACAUCAUUGAUCACAACCGUACUGUUGUCCGCUUCCAAGUGGAUGAAAAUAUCCGUGCCUUCUGUGCAGGCCUGUACGCCUGCAAAGAGGGCCACAACAGCCCCUGCCUUGUGUACGUCACUUUCAACCAGAAGAUCUAUGUAUACUGGGAGGUGCAGCUGGAGAGGAUGGAGUCCACCAAUCUGCUGAAGCUGCUGGAGGCUGAGCCGGAAUACCGCAUCCUGUUGCAGGAGCUGGGCGUGGAUCCUGAUGACCUUCCUGCGGCCCGAAGCCUGCUUCACCAGACACUCUACCACCCAGAUCAGCCACCACAGUGUGCUCCAUCAAGCCUCCAGGACCCCACCUAGCUGGGCUCUGCCUUUUAGUUGCUAAAGGAUCCUUCUGUACCCCUGCCCCACCCCAGAGUCAUCCGUGGUCUUGGCAGGAUAAGGAAUGUACAUUAUGAGGAGUAGGAUUUAAUUACUGGCAUGGAAGAAUGGUGGUGACCCUGGGAUGACUGUAAACCUACAGACCUCACAGUCUUUGGUGAAUGAAGAGACAAGUUGACCCUCUGCCCAUUUCCUCAUGGACCUAUUGGUAACAUCAGGUGGGUCACAGGAUCCAGACUUGUUCAGGAUCUUGCAGGAUCCCCCACCUCCCUAUCUGAUCUCCUUGCUCUCUCCCUAUUUGUGAGAACAGGCAAUGAGUCUCUCACGUGGCCCAACAACUACAAGGAGGCCACGCUUCAGACCCAGGGCAGUAGUAGAGGGAAGGGCUGCCCCCCAGGGCUAAGCACCACCUUUUGCACAGCUCUAGGUCCUUGGUGUUAAUAAUUAUUACUAAUAGUCUGUAUGUUUUAAGGCAUUUUUCAGGACAUUUUACAGUCUGAUCUUACUUAUGUCCCAACAACCCUGGGGUGAUGUUUCUUCAUUUACUGAAGUAGCUGUGUCAGGGCUUUCUCAUUUUACAUAUUUAUUUUUAGGUGCUGGGGAUGGAGCCCAGGGUCUUGCAUAUGCUAAGUAAGUGCUGUACCACUGAGCCACAGUUCUGUGCAGCUUGACAGGCCUUGCUUCCAUCUCCCUACCCACCUGUUUCUCCCCAGUACAUCUAAUUGUCUAUAAGAUGAUAAUGUUUACAAUUUGAUGUAGGUUUAUGAUCCAGACCAUAAUCAGAACUAUAUCUUGAGCCAUUUAUGAUCUAUCUGCUCUUGAUUCUCUGUGCUCUAAAUCAGUGUUUCUUAAGUUGUAGGUGGUAAUCCUUCAUGGGUUGUGGACAGGAUUUUUGAAGUAAAUGAAGUAGAAUAAAAUUCAAUAGAAAAUGUCAGUCCAUUGCUCACAGUGUAGGUAAGUAUUGUUUUGUCACAAUUGUGUGCAUACAUGUGUACCAAGUGCAAUGUAAAAUAACAAUUCACAAGGUCUGAUGGGUUAACCUGGGGAAGAACCCACAUUCGUCCUUCCUUCCCAUAGAGAAUGAGGACUGAGCUACCACUAGCUCCCAGUAGGGGGCAGGAAGACCAGAGAAGAAGAUACAUAGAGAAGCAUGUUUAUUCAAAUGGAGAAGCAGUUGGCUAAGGCUCUGCCCUGGGCCUGGGGUCUGUCAUUACAGAAGCAGCAGGAGGCAGACAGGAGAAGGAGCAGAGGGCCUAGGGCCAGGCAGCGGGUGAGGGGGGAAGUCCUUUUAGAGUUGAGACCAGGUACCAUGACACACGUGCUAAGCAAGCGCCUGCUCUCCUGAGGGCAGGGACCACAGGUGGCUCCUUGCAUCCUGAUUUUUCUCUAAUCUAGUCCACCCCAGGCUCAAGAUUCAGCUCCCUGUUCAGGUUGGUUAUACCAUUGUCUUGCUCUACUCCUAACCAUGACUGGAGAUUCAGAGCAGUUAGACAGACACUUUGGGGUGCGCCUUCCUAAGGUUUGGAUUCUUCUCUUCACAAUGAAGUUAGCCUUGGCCCUGAGCCUGGCAGGGGAUAGAAAGCCACUGAGUCCAGGACAAGACAAGCUCAAGUCAGAGACCAGAGAGAAGGAGGAACCAGGCCUAAGGAGGUGGAUAGUUCUAGAAAUGAGAAAGAACACUGAAUGGUAUAAGUGUGGGUGCUGACAGCCCCACCAUCCUGCCCCCCUUGUAGGGUGGCUCUCCCUAGAGUUUUUCUAUGCACUCUCCAAACACUCAGGAACCCAUGGGUACAAAAGCAAAUGGAAAAGGCUUAGUAUCCAAAGAAAGUAUUUGAAGCAUACCCAAGUUUCUGCGCAGGGUAAUCAAUCAGUAACUGGCCUCAGAGGUCUGCAGCCAGAAAGGGAAGUAAUGAAAGUCUUCAGCCUGUGGGUAGGACAUCCUGUACUAACUCCCCUUCUUGUACUGAAUGGUUCCAUUUUCUGUCUUCCCCCCAUUCAGCUGGGAAUGUGUGCAGAAUCAGAAGGACAGUAUUGGAGUCUGGGGCCCUGGGCAAUUAGACAAUUAGACAGUGUGGCUGUCUAAUUGUGGAAGACAAUGAGCCCCAGAGAUGAAGUGAGAGACAGGGGAUAGGGCAGUAAGGAGAGUUUGGGGUAGGGUUGGAAGCUGGUGACAGCAGUUGACUGCAGUCUUUGACUCCAAUGGCCAAGGGAAGCCAUUCUGCUUAGGUCCCUUUUUGCAGCCCUGACUUGGCUUUGCUCUUUUUUGGGAGGGGCAUGAGAGAACAGGGAAGCGAGAACCCCAGAAUCAUGAACCUCUUAGUGGAAACUCCUGGGGUACAGGACAGCCACUGAGAAGCAGAGAGGAAAGUAGCUGACUAAGAGAAAAGGGACAGUGGGCAUCAGCAGUGAGAAAAGGGACAGACAACAGCAGUCCCCAGCUGCCCAGUUCAGGCAGUGCCCUGCUCCCCACCAGCUCUUUCCCCUAAGGCAUGGU